rnacentral:rRNA from 1 species
CCUACGGGAGGCAGCAGUGAGGAAUAUUGGUCAAUGGACGAGAGUCUGAACCAGCCAAGUAGCGUGAAGGAUGACUGCCCUAUGGGUUGUAAACUUCUUUUAUAUGGGAAUAAAAUGUUCCACGUGUGGGAUUUUGUAUGUACCAUAUGAAUAAGGAUCGGCUAACUCCGUGCCAGCCGCCGCGGUAAUACGGAGGGUCCGAGCGUUAUCCGGAUUUAUUGGGUUUAAAGGGAGCGUAGGUGGAUUGUUAAGUCAGUUGUGAAAGUUUGCGGCUCAAACGUAAAAUUGCAGUUGAAACUGGCAGUCUUGAGUACAGUAGAGGUGGGCGGAAUUCGUGGUGUAGCGGUGAAAUGCUUAGAUAUCACGAAGAACUCCGAUUGCGAAGGCAGCUCACUGGACUGCAACUGACACUGAGGCUCGAAGGUGUGGGUAUCAAACAGGAUUAGAUACCCUGGUAGUC